rnacentral:rRNA from 1 species
UACGUAGGGGGCGAGCGUUGUCCGGAAUUAUUGGGCGUAAAGAGCGUGUAGGCGGUUCGUUAAGUCUGCUGUGAAAUACUGGGGCGCAACCCUGGGCGUGCAGCGGAUACUGCCGGGCUAGAGGGUGGUAGAGGCGAGUGGAAUUCCGGGUGUAGCGGUGAAAUGCGCAGAUAUUCGGAGGAACACCAGUAGCGAAGGCGGUCCGCUGGGCCACACCUGACGCUGAGACGCGAAAGCGUGGGGAGCGAACAGG